AAAAUAAAGUCCCUCGUAUUCUCCUUCUUCAUGUUCAUCAAAAUAAAACUUCUUUCUUAACUUUCCCCAUUCGGUUCUUAUGAUUUUCUUUUUCUUAGAUUCAGGCGUUAACCUCAAUCAAUUUCAUCACAAAAACACUUCAAAUUUGUAGAUAAACUGGAAUUGAAUCUAAAUAUAAAUCACAGAGAGAGAACGAGAGUGGAAUUUUUUUUUCUCUUUUCAACAGUAAGGUCUCUCUGUACAUCUCAAUCUUCUACUUGUAACAGAGAGAUACACAGAUUUAGUUUGAAAUGGGGAAAGUGGUGGUGGGUUGAUGCAUGGCAAAGACGAUUGUAGAGUAGAUUCAAUCAUCAAAAGAAGAAGAGAUUCAUCAUCAACAGGUGAAUAAACCUAGAGAGCAGGUUGAAGGACUUGUGAAAUCUAUAGGAGGAACAAUGUGAGAAUUGGGUCUAGCAUUCAUAAGAGUGAUUGAUGAUGCGAAGAUGAUUGCUGUCAGAGAAUAUGAAAGAAUCAAGUUAUUGCAGACCCUUGCAGCAAAGGAAAUCUAUUGCUGUUGACGAGGUCGGAUGUAGCUUCAAGGCUGUCAGAUGAUGCACAAGGAACAAACAUCUAUUCCGGUUGGAAAACUUGCGAAAGGAGGUAGAAAUUUAUGAAGAACGUUUAAAGAAAUAAAAUCAAUUGAUUACGAAUCACUAGGUAGGUUUUAAUCCUCAUGUGGUUGAAAGGAUACAAAGAUUCUAGAGAAGAAAUAAGAAAAGAUUCAUGAUUUUGAGCUACAGGUGAGCAAUGUAUAUAACAGGGUAAUGAGUAAUGGUAAUAUUAAAUGUGGAUUUUGUUUUUCGGGUUAUUUAUAUGUUAAAUCUUUUCUUUGCGGGUAGUAUUAAUUGUUGAUUUAUAUAAUCAGGUAAUGAGCAACGUGCUGGUAGUAAUAUUAAAUGUGGAUUUUUUUUUUAAAGAGUUAAGAUAUUCUUUGCUGGUGUAGGCUGAAGGAUUUCUGAAAAAUCAGCAAGAUAUGGAAUAUGAAAGAAUUAAGGGACAGCCCCACCAACCUCUCUAUUCCAAGAAGUUCAAUACUGAAAAGUCUAUUUAUAUGCCUGCUUUUCUCUUCUUGGUGCUAGUUGUCGUAUUCAAGUGACUUACAUAAGUGGAUCUUAAGUUUUUGAAAGUCCGACAUCCUUUACUGGACGAUAUAGAUGUUACGAUCAAUCCUUCAAAAGGUUUGUCUCUUAUUGAAGGUAUAUCAUCUGAUGAACAAAGGAGCUCGGGCACCUAGAAGUUACAUAUGUUUUGAUUUUUUUUUCCUUCUUCUUUGUUGUUUGGAACAUGAAACAACUUCAAUUGUUGAGUUUGAGUUGUUUGGUUUCUUAGGUUGUAAUUUUUCUUUUGAACAAUUGUUUGUAAUUUAAUUUAAGUUAAUUUUUAUAAAAUCUUUUGAA